GGCGCCCGUGAAAGCUUAGCUGGUUAAAGCGCCUGUCUAGUAAACAGGAGAUCCUGGGUUCAAAUCCCAGCAGUGCCU